CCUACGGGUGGCAGCAGUGAGGAAUAUUGGUCAAUGGACGAGAGUCUGAACCAGCCAAGUAGCGUGAAGGAUGACUGCCCUAUGGGUUGUAAACUUCUUUUAUAUGGGAAUAAAAUGUUCCACGUGUGGGAUUUUGUAUGUACCAUAUGAAUAAGGAUCGGCUAACUCCGUGCCAGCAGCCGCGGUAAUACGGAGGAUCCGAGCGUUAUCCGGAUUUAUUGGGUUUAAAGGGAGCGUAGGUGGAUUGUUAAGUCAGUUGUGAAAGUUUGCGGCUCAACCGUAAAAUUGCAGUUGAAACUGGCAGUCUUGAGUACAGUAGAGGUUGGCGGAAUUCGUGGUGGAGCGGUGAAAUGCUUAGAUAUCACGAAGAACUCCGAUUGCGAAGGCAGUUCACUGGACUGCAACUGACACUGAGGCUCGAAAGUGUGAGUAUCAAACAGGAUUAGAUACCCUAGUAGUC
rnacentral:rRNA from 1 species